AUGCUGCCGCGCAGGGUGACUGAGGAGAUGAACACAAGUUUAACAAAGGAGUUUACAGAAAAAGAAAUCAGCGACGCACUCUUUCAGAUUGGACCACUGAAGGCGCCGGGGCCAGAUGGCUUUCCGGCACGCUUCUUCCAACUCAACUGGGAGACGUUGAAGAAGGAUGUAGUUGCUGCGGUGUUGAGUUUUUUUGAGAAUGGAAUCAUGCCAGAGGGCGUUAAUGACACAGCGUUAGUGCUUAUUCCAAAAGGGAAGAACCCACAAAGUUUGAAAGACUUCAGACCGAUCAGUCUCUGCAACGUAAUAUAUAAAGUAAUCUCCAAAUGCCUCGUGAACCGGCUGCGGCCGUUCUUGGAUGAGCUAAUAUCGGAAACCCAGAGUGCGUUUAUACCCGGACGGAUGAUCACGGACAAUGCCAUUAUCGCCUUCGAGUGCUUCCAUAAAAUACAACAGAGUAAGAAUCCUCACAAUACUCACUGUGCGUACAAGUUAGAUCUGGCCAAAGCCUAUGACAGAGUUGACUGGGACUUUCUUGAAGGAGCUCUGGAGAAGGUGGGUUUCAGUGCUGUGUGGAUUGGUUGGAUCAUGAAGUGUCUGAAAUCUGUCCGAUUCCAAGUGAAAAUGAAUGGGGAAAUGUUAGAGGCCUUCAUUCCUACAAGAGGACUCAGACAAGGCGAUCCCUUGAGCCCAUAUUUGUUCCUCUUUAUUGCUGAUGGGCUGGCUACAAUUUUUAACAGGGAGGUUCGAGGUGGAUGCAUCUCUCCUGUAAAAGUGGCUCGCAAUAGCCCUGGGAUCUCUAAUCUUCUUUUUGCAGAUGAUAGUUUGGUAUUUUUCAAAGCCACCAGAGAACAAGCUAGAGUGGUGAAAGGAGCUCUAUCCAUGUUCCAAAAAUGCACGGGGCAGCUCCUAAGUAGCAGUAAGUGCUCUAUCUUAUUUAGUGAGCACUGUCCUAAUACACUUCAGGAGGAAAUUAAAGAUAUCCUUGCGUGUGAGACAUCUACUUUCGAAAGCAAAUACUUGGGUCUCCCAACCCCGGAAGGGAGAAUGAAAGAUGCAAAAUUCCAGCCCAUCAUGGACAAAUUUCUGAAAAAAUGCAACAAUUGGGAUGGAAGACAUAUGUCCUUUGCUGCGAAGGAGGUGAAUGUGAAGUCGGUGGUCCAGGCUCUUCCGACAUAUGCCAUGGGGGUUUUCAAAUUCUCGGUGGGUUUUUGUGACAAGUAUGAGCGACUGAUUAGAGAGUUCUGGUGGGGAGAGGAGGAAGGGCAUAGGGAAGUUCAUUGGAUGGCAUGGGAGCAAAUGAUAAAGCCCAAAAGAGCAGGAGGGAUCGGCUUUUGA
rnacentral:rRNA from 1 species